UAUUUGAGAUACUCAUGUUCAGUAACAUCAAUAGAUAUUACAGUGAAACCACGACGUAUUGUUGGGGAAACUAUUUGAGAUACUCAUGUUCAGGAACAUUUAGUCUAGUUGUGUAUACUAACAAUAGAUACCCUGUGAUAUUACAGUGAAACCACGAAGUAUUGUUGGGGAAACAUUUCUGAGAUUCCUUUCGGUGAACGAAUCUGCGUUUGACCUUCUUUAUUGCAUUGCCUUCAAGCUGAUGGAUCAGCAGUGGCUUUCCAUGCGGGCGUCAUACAUGGAAUUUAAUACUGUAAUGAAAUCGACAAGGCGGCAACUGGAGAGAGAGAUUAUGGUUGAAGACAUUACACGCCUUGAAGAUUUGCCAUCAUACAGUCUUCUCAGUCAGUAGCAAAAUAGCUUUACCAUGUAAGUAGAAAGAUCUAACACCUCAGAAACACUAUAUCAAAGCCUAAAAACAACAACAGAGCAAACAAGCAAAAAGAAGACAAGGCUUGUCUAUCCUCUCUUUCUUUCUAGCUCUCGGUCGCUCAUCACUUCAUCUUCCUGUCCUGGUUUCUGCGGUUUCCUCUAUAUUAGUGUUGGUUCCAUGAAAUCUGGGACAUUAGGUUGUUAUUUCUAUGAGACAACGUUUAAAUUUUGAUUCGUAUGGGGUCAAUUUUUCUAACUUGCGGCGUUUGCAAAACGUUGUUGGUUAGUUGGUGUUUGGGCUAAUAAUACAUUUGGUUACAUUUCCAGUAGUACUCAGAAGACCCCAAAAAGGUCUUAAAAUAUGAUUCUCGACCAAAUGUUUUUGAUUCAUGACCUUAUUCAAUAUGAUUUGAUUUUAUCUCUCUCGAA